CUUGAUGGCUUGCCAGCGAUGGUACAGGUCGUCCUCUCCAACGAGCCCACUGUGCAGCUCAAGGCCACCACACAGUUUAGGAAGCUGCUCUCCAUAGGCGAGGUUAUUGACCUUCAGGCAUAUGUUGUUAAGGGAGUUGGAAAGGUUCAAGCAAAGUGGUCUCCAGUUGGUACAAUUGAUAUAGAAUGCUCCAUGAGAGGUGAAAAUUAGUUUUCCACGUGCAGCUCUACACAUACCUCUUCCAAAGAUAUCUCUACUCUAGCAGCGGGUAGCGAAGAGGGGCUCAUGUGUCUGCAUGUUCAGGGGAGUCGAUGGUGAGGUUCGCAAUGACGUCCUUCUAGGGCAGACCGUGGCUUCACCUUCCUACACUAACCUCACUGUGGCAUAUCACAGGACAAAUAUCUUGGUACGCUAUUGUAGGUGGUCAAGGAAUCCAAAUGGAGGCAAUCUAGAAUCUCUCAGAUAUAAGCAAGGUUACAGAUUUGAUGUGGAUAUUCCUGACCAAACAUGGGUAACUAUAUAGAACCAUGCCUCUUCUAUCUGAGCAUUCAAUAGACACUGCAACAAAAAGGACUUGUCUGUUUUCUUUGCAACAUCAGCUGGUCUGCUUCUCUUUGGUUGGGUCUUGUUUGUCAGGAACAUUUCAUUUUCGCAAUGUGUGAGGAAUAAACACAUUUUCAGAGGUUCAGGAGUUUUGUUACAUAAUUGAAAUUGUUAGGAGCACACAUUUUAGAACUAAAUUUUUGAGUUGCACACACAUUUCUUUUGUUUCAGAACUGAAUUUUGGAGGUGCACACACAUUUAUUUUAUUUCAGAAUUGAAUUUCUUUUGUUUUAGAACUGAAUUUUUAGUGAAGAGCACACAUAUUUAAUAGUUCCGGAGCACGACAUUUCAGAACUAAUACAAAACUGAAUUUAUUACAGAGCACACACAUUUCACUUUUUGGUUGCUUGCUAGAAUUUACUCUAUGGAGAGGUGCCAUUGCAUACGGCAAAAGUUGAGAGCAGCUUGUGAACGGAAUUUACAGAAAUGUUUUUUUGAGGCUGGUAGAUUGUCAUUCAAGAGCUAGGAAAACUUCCAAAACAACUCAUUUUGACAAGAAUGCCGACCAUUGCUGCAAUUACUUCACCCUUGGCUCCCGCACUAACUUUGACGGCCGACUGCAGAUCUUCUUCGACAU